AAUUUAGUGGUCAGAACAUUGGUGCGUAAAGCCAAAGGUCCCGGGUUCGAUUCCCGG
rnacentral:tRNA from 1 species